AGUUAAUGAACUUGUUUAAGUAUAUAUUUUGAAAAUAUAAGAAAGGAUAAAAUACUCCUAUUAACUU
rnacentral:tRNA from 1 species